rnacentral:rRNA from 1 species
CCUACGGGAGGCAGCAGUGAGGAAUAUUGGUCAAUGGACGGAAGUCUGAACCAGCCAUGCCGCGUGCAGGAAGACGGCCCUAUGAGUUGUAAACUGCUUUUGUACAAGGGUAAACCUGAAUACGUGUAUUCUGCGGAAAGUACUGUACGAAUAAGGAUCGGCUAACUCCGUUCCAGCAGCCGCGGUAAUACGGAGGGUCCAAGCGUUAUCCGGAUUUAUUGGGUUUAAAGGGUGCGUAGGCGGAUUGAUAAGUUAGAGGUGAAAUGUACGCGCUUAACUCGGGAACUGCCUCUAAUACUGUUGAGCUAGAGAGUAGAUGCGGUAGGCGGAAUGUAUGGUGUAGCGGUGAAAUGCUUAGAGAUCAUACAGAACACCGAUUGCGAAGGCAGCUUACCAAUCUAUGUCUGACGUUGAGGCACGAAAGCGUGGGGAGCAAACAGGAUUAGAUACCCGAGUAGUC